UCAUCUAUCUGUUCUCCAUUGAUCUUGAAACUAUGAAUCGCCCGGAGGCGCUGAUCUACCCUUUCACAAUUGCGUGGCCACCCACCCUCUUUCCUAAAUCCUGCUGGACAAGGAGCUUGAUAUGAAUAUGACGGUAAACUCCAGCAUAAGAUGGCAGAGGCGAUGAUA